GACGAACGCUGGCGGCGUGCUUAACACAUGCAAGUCGAACGGAAAGGCCUCUUUCUGGGGGUACUCGAGUGGCGAACGGGUGAGUAACACGUGAGUAACCUGCCCUUGACUUUGGGAUAACUUCCGGCAACUGGGGCUAAUACCGGAUAGGAGCUCCUGCUGCAUGGUUGGGGUUGGAAUGUUUCGCCGGUUGGGGAUGGACUCGCGGCUUAUCCGCUUGUUGGUGGGGUAGUGGCUUACCAAGGCUUUGACGGGUAGCCGACCUGAGAGGGUGACCGGCCACAUUGGGACUGAGAUACGGCCCAGACUCCUACGGGAGGCAGCAGUGGGGAAGAUUGCACAAUGGGUGGAAGCCUGAUGCAGCAACGCCGUGUGCGGGAUGACGGCCUUCGGGUUGUAAACCGCUUGCGCUCAUGACGAAGCUUUGUGUGACGGUAGUGGGUAAAGAAGCACCGGCUAACUACGUG
rnacentral:rRNA from 1 species